AGCUGAAUGGCUCAGUGGAAGAGUCGCCGGGCUCAUAAUUUGAAUAACCCGGAGGUCGCUGGAUCGAAACCAGUUUCAGCUA